rnacentral:rRNA from 1 species
AUGAGUUGUUUGAGCUGGAACUGCCGGGGGCUUGGGAACCCCGAGGCAGUUCGUGAACUUCGCAGCAUUGUGAAGUUGGAAGGACCCACUCUUCUCUUUGUAAUGGAAACGAAAAUCAAUGCAAAAAGAGUCGAGGUUUUGAAGCAUUCACUAGGUUUCAGUGGGUGUUUUGCUGUAGACAGUGCCGGCCUUAGCGGCGGUAUUGGUCUUUUUUGGUCUCGAGAUGUAUCUGUCGAGUUAAAAAACUAUAGCCAGAGUCACAUUGAUGUGGUUGUCAAGAGUAAUAUUCAGGAUUUGACUUGGCGUUUUACCGGUUUUUACGGAGCUCCGCGAGCAGAAGAUAGACAUCAUUCCUGGCGGUUCUUGCGUACACUUUAUACGUUACCACAUGCUGCAUGGUUGAGCAUGGGAUAUUACAAUGAAACACUAUACCCUUCGGAGCACUUUAGUAGAUCAGCGCGAUUUGAAAAUCAGAUGCGUGCUUCCGGGAGGUGA